CUGUCCUACGGGAGGCAGCAGUGGGGAAUAUUGCACAAUGGGGGAAACCCUGAUGCAGCAACGCCGCGUGAGUGAAGAAGUAUUUCGGUAUGUAAAUCUCUCUCAACAGGGAAGAGAAUGACGGUACCUGACUAAGAAGCCCCGGCUAACUACGUGCCAGCAGCAGCGGUAAUACGUAGGGGGCGAGCGUUAUCCGGAUUUACUGGGUGUAAAGGGAGCGUAGACGGUUCUGCAAGUCUGAAGUGAAAGCCCGUGGCUUAACCGCGGAACGGCUUUGGAAACAGUGGAACUGG
rnacentral:rRNA from 1 species